CCGAAUGGGGAAACCCAGUGUGACUCGUCACACUAUCAUUAACUGAAUCCAUAGGUUAAUGAGGCGAACCGGGGGAACUGAAACAUCUAAGUACCCCGAGGAAAAGAAAUCAACCGAGAUUCCCCCAGUAGCGGCGAGCGAACGGGGAGGAGCCCAGAGCCUGAAUCAGCAUGUGUGUUAGUGGAAGCGUCUGGAAAGGCGCGCGAUACAGGGUGACAGCCCCGUACACAAAAGCGCAUGUGCUGUGAGCUCGAUGAGUAGGGCGGGACACGUGGUAUCCUGUCUGAAUAUGGGGGGACCAUCCUCCAAGGCUAAAUACUCCUGACUGACCGAUAGUGAACCAGUACCGUGAGGGAAAGGCGAAAAGAACCCCGGCGAGGGGAGUGAAAAAGAACCUGAAACCGUGUACGUACAAGCAGUGGGAGCNNNNNNNNNNNNNNNNNNNNNNNNNNNNNNNNNNNGGGCGUUAAGUUGCAGGGUAUAGACCCGAAACCCGGUGAUCUAGCCAUGGGCAGGUUGAAGGUUGGGUAACACUAACUGGAGGACCGAACCGACUAAUGUUGAAAAAUUAGCGGAUGACCUGUGGCUGGGGGUGAAAGGCCAAUCAAACCGGGAGAUAGCUGGUUCUCCCCGAAAGCUAUUUAGGUAGCGCCUCGUGAAUUCAUCUCCGGGGGUAGAGCACUGUUUCGGCUAGGGGGCCAUCCCGGCUUACCAACCCGAUGCAAACUGCGAAUACCGGAGAAUGUUAUCACGGGAGACACACGGCGGGUGCUAACGUCCGUCGUGAAGAGGGAAACAACCCAGACCGCCAGCUAAGGUCCCAAAGUCAUGGUUAAGUGGGAAACGAUGUGGGAAGGCCCAGACAGCCAGGAUGUUGGCUUAGAAGCAGCCAUCAUUUAAAGAAAGCGUAAUAGCUCACUGGUCGAGUCGGCCUGCGCGGAAGAUGUAACGGGGCUAAACCAUGCACCGAAGCUGCGGCAGCGANNUGCUGGAGGUAUCAGAAGUGCGAAUGCUGACAUAAGUAACGAUAAAGCGGGUGAAAAGCCCGCUCGCCGGAAGACCAAGGGUUCCUGUCCAACGUUAAUCGGGGCAGGGUGAGUCGACCCCUAAGGCGAGGCCGAAAGGCGUAGUCGAUGGGAAACGGGUUAAUAUUCCCGUACUUGGUGUUACUGCGAAGGGGGGACGGAGAAGGCUAUGUUGGCCGGGCGACGGUUGUCCCGGUUUAAGCGUGUAGGUGUGUGUUCCAGGUAAAUCCGGUUCACUUUAACACUGAGGCGUGACGACGAGGCACUACGGUGCUGAAGCAACAAAUGCCCUGCUUCCAGGAAAAGCCUCUAAGCAUCAGGUAACAUCAAAUCGUACCCCAAACCGACACAGGUGGUCAGGUAGAGAAUACCAAGGCGCUUGAGAGAACUCGGGUGAAGGAACUAGGCAAAAUGGUGCCGUAACUUCGGGAGAAGGCACGCUGACACGUAGGUGAAGUGAUUUACUCAUGGAGCUGAAGUCAGUCGAAGAUACCAGCUGGCUGCAACUGUUUAUUAAAAACACAGCACUGUGCAAACACGAAAGUGGACGUAUACGGUGUGACGCCUGCCCGGUGCCGGAAGGUUAAUUGAUGGGGUCAGCGCAAGCGAAGCUCCUGAUCGAAGCCCCGGUAAACGGCGGCCGUAACUAUAACGGUCCUAAGGUAGCGAAAUUCCUUGUCGGGUAAGUUCCGACCUGCACGAAUGGCGUAAUGAUGGCCAGGCUGUCUCCACCCGAGACUCAGUGAAAUUGAACUCGCUGUGAAGAUGCAGUGUACCCGCGGCAAGACGGAAAGACCCCGUGAACCUUUACUAUAGCUUGACACUGAACAUUGAGCCUUGAUGUGUAGGAUAGGUGGGAGGCUUUGAAGUGUGGACGCCAGUCUGCAUGGAGCCGACCUUGAAAUACCACCCUUUAAUGUUUGAUGUUCUAACGUGGACCCGUUACCCGGGUUGCGGACAGUGUCUGGUGGGUAGUUUGACUGGGGCGGUCUCCUCCUAAAGAGUAACGGAGGAGCACGAAGGUUGGCUAAUCCUGGUCGGACAUCAGGAGGUUAGUGCAAUGGCAUAAGCCAGCUUGACUGCGAGCGUGACGGCGCGAGCAGGUGCGAAAGCAGGUCAUAGUGAUCCGGUGGUUCUGAAUGGAAGGGCCAUCGCUCAACGGAUAAAAGGUACUCCGGGGAUAACAGGCUGAUACCGCCCAAGAGUUCAUAUCGACGGCGGUGUUUGGCACCUCGAUGUCGGCUCAUCACAUCCUGGGGCUGAAGUAGGUCCCAAGGGUAUGGCUGUUCGCCAUUUAAAGUGGUACGCGAGCUGGGUUUAGAACGUCGUGAGACAGUUCGGUCCCUAUCUGCCGUGGGCGCUGGAGAACUGAGGGGGGCUGCUCCUAGUACGAGAGGACCGGAGUGGACGCAUCACUGGUGUUCGGGUUGUCAUGCCAAUGGCACUGCCCGGUAGCUAAAUGCGGAAGAGAUAAGUGCUGAAAGCAUCUAAGCACGAAACUUGCCCCGAGAUGAGUUCUCCCUGAGACUUAGAGUCUCCUGAAGGAACGUUGAAGACGACGACGUUGAUAGGCCGGGUGUGUAAGCGCAGCGAUGCGUUGAGCUAACCGGUACUAAUGAACCGUGAGGCUUAACCUUACAACGCCGAAG
rnacentral:rRNA from 2 species